rnacentral:rRNA from 1 species
UAGGGAAUCUUCGGCAAUGGGGGCAACCCUGACCGAGCAACGCCGCGUGAGUGAAGAAGGUUUUCGGAUCGUAAAGCUCUGUUGUAAGAGAAGAACGAGUGUGAGAGUGGAAAGUUCACACUGUGACGGUAUCUUACCAGAAAGGGACGGCUAACUACGUGCCAGCAGCCGCGGUAAUACGUAGGUCCCGAGCGUUGCCCGGAUUUAUUGGGCGUAAAGCGAGCGCAGGCGGUUAGAUAAGUCUGAAGUUAAAGGCUGUGGCUUAACCAUAGUACGCUUUGGAAACUGUUUAACUUGAGUGCAAGAGGGGAGAGUGGAAUUCCAUGUGUAGCGGUGAAAUGCGUAGAUAUAUGGAGGAACACCGGUGGCGAAAGCGGCUCUCUGGCUUGUAACUGACGCUGAGGCUCGAAAGCGUGGGGAGCAAACAGGAUUAGAUACCCUGGUAGUCCACGCCGUAAACGAUGAGUGCUAGGUGUUAGACCCUUUCCGGGGUUUAGUGCCGCAGCUAACGCAUUAAGCACUCCGCCUGGGGAGUACGACCGCAAGGUUG